AUUGAACGCUGGCGGCAGGCCUAACACAUGCAAGUCGAACGAGUGGCGGACGGGUGAGUAAUGCCUGGGAAACUGACCGAUGGAGGGGGAUAACUACUGGAAACGGUAGCUAAUACCGCAUACCAUCGGAUGUGCCCAGUUGGGAGUAGCUAGUAGGUGGGGUAACGGCUCACCUAGGCGACGAACCCUAGCUGGUCGGAGAGGAUGACCAGCCACACGUGAACUGAGACACGGUCCAGACUCCUACGGGAGGCAGCAGUGGGGAAUAUUGCACAAUGGGCGCAAGCCUGAUGCAGCCAUGCCGCGUGUAUGAAGAAGGCCUUCGGGUUGUAAAGUACUUUCAGUGGGGAGGCGUUACUCGCAGAAGAAGCACCGGCUAACUCCGUGCCAGCCGCCGCGGUAAUAC
rnacentral:rRNA from 1 species